UACGGAGGGUGCGAACGUUAAUCGGAAUCACUGGGCGUAAAGCGCGCGUAGGCGGCCUCAUAAGUCCGUUGUGAAAGUCAAAGGCUCAACCUUUGAAAGCCGAUGGAUACUGUGAGGCUAGAGUCCGGAAGAGGCGAGUGGAAUUCCUGGUGUAGCGGUGGAAUGCGCAGAUAUCAGGAGGAACACCGGUGGCGAAGGCGGGUCUCUGGGCCGAUACUGACGCUGAGGAGCGAAAGCGUGGGGAGCGAACAGG
rnacentral:rRNA from 1 species